rnacentral:rRNA from 1 species
GAUGAACGCUAGCGGCAGGCCUAAUACAUGCAAGUCGAACGGGAUCCAGAUCAAAGCUUGCUUUGGUUUGGUGAGAGUGGCGCACGGGUGCGUAACGCGUGAGCAACCUACCCUUGUCAGGGGGAUAGCCCGGCGAAAGUCGGAUUAAUACCGCAUGACAUCAUUGAGAGGCAUCUUUCGAUGAUCAAAGAUUUAUCGGACAAGGAUGGGCUCGCGUGACAUUAGCUAGUUGGUAAGGUAACGGCUUACCAAGGCUACGAUGUCUAGGGGCUCUGAGAGGAGAAUCCCCCACACUGGUACUGAGACACGGACCAGACUCCUACGGGAGGCAGCAGUAAGGAAGAUUGGUCAAUGGACGGAAGUCUGAACCAGCCAUGCCGCGUGCAGGAAGACGGCCCUAUGGGUUGUAAACUGCUUUUAUACGGGAACAAACGUCGGUACGUGUACCGGUCUGAGUGUACCGUAAGAAUAAGAAUCGGCUAACUCCGUG